UGCUCAGCAACUCUUAUCCCUACCUCCGCGUGGUACCGGCCGGAUAAUACUAGCAACCUUAGGGAAG
rnacentral:ribozyme from 1 species